CAGCGCCACGGGAAUACGUAGGUGGCAAGCGUUGUCCGGAAUUAUUGGGCGUAAAGCGCGCGCAGGCGGCCUAUCCAGUCUGUCUUAAAAGUUCGGGGCUCAACCCCGUGAUGGGAUGGAAACUAGUAGGCUAGAGUAUCGGAGAGGAAAGCGGAAUUCCUAGUGUAGCGGUGAAAUGCGUAGAUAUUAGGAAGAACACCAGUGGCGAAGGCGGCUUUCUGGACGAAAACUGACGCUGAGGCGCGAAAGCCAGGGGAGCGAACGGGAUUAGAUACCCCGGUAGUCCCUGUCUCUUAUACAC
rnacentral:rRNA from 1 species